UACGACUACAUAUCAGGCAUAUCAAUAAGCGGAGGAAAAGAAACUAACAAGGAUUCCCUUAGUAACGGCGAGUGAAGCGGGAAGAGCUCAAAUUUGAAAUCUUCAAGGUUUACCUUGACGAAUUGUAGUUUAAAGAAGUGUUUUCUGUUGAAGUUUUGGUAAAAGUUCUUUGGAAUAGGACAUCAUAGAGGGUGAGAAUCCCGUAUUUGACCAUUAUUUUCAGCUGUGUGAUACACUUUCAAAGAGUCGGAUUGUUUGGGAAUGCAGUCCAAAAUGGGUGGUAAAUUUCAUCUAAAGCUAAAUAUUGGCGAGAGACCGAUAGCGAACAAGUACCGUGAGGGAAAGAUGAAAAGAACUUUGAAAAGAGAGUUAAACAGUACGUGAAAUUGUCAAAAGGGAAGCGUUUGACACCAGUGUUGUUUUCUCGAAAAUCAAUUAAAAAAAGUCGGAUUUUGUGUUGUAUUGACCUUAACAGCUUGCUUCACUCUUUUCCAGCUUUUUUUAUGCACUUUUCGUUUAACAAGUCAACAUCAGUUUCUUUUGUUGUAAAAGGGUCAUUGGAAGGUGGCUUUCUCUUCGGAGAAAGUGUUUAUAGCCUUUGAUCUCUGCAAUCGGAGAGACUGAGGUCUGCAGCGUAGAUCCUUCGGGGUUAGAUACAUUUGUGCUAAGCUACAGCUUUUCAUAGACAACUUGUUGACUAUGUUUAGUCUUGUGACUUACCCGCUUAUGCUAUUUUACCUACGCUUAGGAUGUUGAGCGCAUGUCUCUCUCU
rnacentral:rRNA from 1 species